GCCCCCAUGGCCCAACUGGCAGAGGCAGCCGGCUUAAACCCGGCGUGGUCCGGGUUCGAGUCCCGGUGGGGGCA
rnacentral:tRNA from 1 species